rnacentral:rRNA from 1 species
GCAUGGUCUUAGCUUGCUAAGGCCGAUGGCGACCGGCGCACGGGUGAGUAACACGUAUCCAACCUGCCUUAUACUCUCGGACAGCCUUCUGAAAGGAAGAUUAAUACGGGAUGGUAUCACGGGCCAGCAUUUUCUCGUGAUUAAAGAAUUUCGGUAUAAGAUGGGGAUGCGUUCCAUUAGAUAGUAGGCGGGGUAACGGCCCACCUAGUCUACGAUGGAUAGGGGUUCUGAGAGGAAGGUCCCCCACAUUGGAACUGAGACACGGUCCAAACUCCUACGGGAGGCAGCAGUGAGGAAUAUUGGUCAAUGGGCGCGAGCCUGAACCAGCCAAGUAGCGUGAAGGAUGACUGCCCUACGGGUUGUAAACUUCUUUUAUAAAGGAAUAAAGUGAGGCACGUGUGCCUUUUUGUAUGUACUUUAUGAAUAAGGAUCGGCUAACUCCGUGCCAGCAGCCGCGGUAAUACGGAGGAUCCGAGCGUUAUCCGGAUUUAUUGGGUUUAAAGGGAGCGUAGAUGGGUUGUUAAGUCAGUUGUGAAAGUUUGCGGCUCAACCGUAAAAUUGCAAUUGAUACUGGCAGCCUUGAGUACAGUUGAGGUAGGCGGAAUUCGUGGUGUAGCGGUGAAAUGCUUAGAUAUCACGAAGAACUCCGAUUGCGAAGGCAGCCUACUAAACUGC